UGUUGCAAAAGAAAUAGUUACUGGCAGCAACAAUUAUUGAUCAUUACCAACAAUUGUUGCUGCAUAAAAUUAAAAAUUUUUAAUGCUGCAAAAAAUUAAAAAUUUUACUGAUAACAACAUUUGUUGUCAUAUCUUAUGUACCAUUCACAGCAAUUAUUUAUGUUGUUGCUUAUUUAUGUUGCUGUAUGUUAGCUUUAUCGCAGCAAAAUUAAGUUGGUACAAAAUUUUUUGCUGCUAAUUAUAA
rnacentral:misc_RNA from 1 species